GUGCUNGCUUUGGUAGCACAUAUACUAACAUUAGAACGAUACAGAGAAGAUUAGCUUGGCCCCUGUGCAAGGAUGACACUCAAAUUCAUGAAGUGUUCCAUAUUUUU
rnacentral:snRNA from 1 species